CUCUCCUUCACGCGGCGAAAGGGCAGAGAGCAAAGCGCUGCCAUCUCCCACAACUCUUGGCAGGGUGGGACAGCUCCGGGACGGCGCGGGCGAAGCGCACGGCCAGGCCCCACUCCCCCGGUCCCGCACCGCGCCUCGGACCGCGCUGCUCCGCUUCUCCUGGCUCCGGCUUCCCUGUGUUGAACGACCGGACCUCCCCGCAGAGUGGCCCGCAGGGCACGAUCUCCACGUCCGCGACCUGCGCCGCGAGGGACCUUUGUCCCGGACGAAAACGAAAGCGCGCGGGGCCGGGGGCGCCCACGCCCUGCAGCGGAGAAACAACUUCCUGCUCCCCCGGCCCAGGGCGCAGGAGCUGCGGGGAGAAGUUCUAGGCCGCAGCUUUGCUAUCUUGGAGCCGGACGACGACACUGCUGCCCACGGGCCGCGCGGUUUCUUCCCGCGCCCUCUCCCGCGGUCGCGACCAGCCGGGCUCCAGGGUCCGGACACUGGUUAGAAUGACAAGAAGGCCGCAGCUGCUUUUUCUGCCUGCUCCGCAGGAGCGCCUGAGUGGUUUCUGGCGCUUGGGGACGCCGACACGGGGUCGCUGUGCUCGGACCCCAUCCCCCUGCCUGGGCAUGCCCUCUCUCGGAGCCAGAUGGACCUGGUUGUCCCCGGAUGCCCGCGACAGGGGCCCGAGAGAAAGAAGGCCUCCUGGGCCCCAUCCCAGUGUCUCUCUGUGCCUGUCUCCCCGCCCCCCCCCCCAGCCGGCCUUGGCAUUCUAACCAGUGUCCCUUGACGUCACAUCUCGCCAUUUCUGUCAACCAAUUGAAACUUGCCCGUUGUCAUAAAAAUAUAUAUACUUUUUAUGCCAUUGGUAAAUUCAAAA